UCCGGCUUGUCACCGGCGGUUUCUUCAGAGUGCCCAGCAUAACCUGGUAGCAACUGAAGAUGAGGGUUGCGCUCGUUGCGGGACUUAACCCAACAUCUCACGACACGAGCUGACGACAGCCAUGCAGCACCUGUGUUCCAGCCAGCCGAACUGAAGGAUCUAGUCUCCUAAAUCCAUACUGGACAUGUCAAAGGUUGGUAAGGUUCUUCGCGUUGCGUCGAAUUAAACCACAUACUCCACCGCUUGUGCGGGCCCCCGUCAAUUCAUUUGAGUUUUAAUCUUGCGACCGUACUCCCCAGGCGGUGUGCUUAUUGCGUUAGCUGCGACACUAAAGAUCGAAGACCUUUAACGUCUAGCACACAUCGUUUACAGCGUGGACUAC
rnacentral:misc_RNA from 1 species